GACGAACGCUGGCGGCGGGCUUAACACAUGCAAGUCGAACGGCAAGGCCCUGCUUUUGUGGGGUGCUCGAGGGGCGAACGGGUGAGUAACACGUGAGUAACCUGCCCUUGACUUUGGGAUAACUUCAGGAAACUGGGGCUAAGACCGGAUAGGAGAUCCUGCUGCAUGGUGGGGGGUGGAACGUUUCGGCGGUUGGGGAUGGACCCGCGGCUUAUGAGCUUGUUGGUGGGGUAGUGGCUUACCAAGGCUUUGGCGGGUAGCCGGCCUGAGAGGGUGACCGGCCUCAUUGGGACUGCGGUACGGCCCAGUCUCCUACGGGAGGCAGCAGGGGGGAAUCUUGCACAGUGGGCGCGAGCCGGAUGCAACAACGCCGCGUGCGGGAUGACGGCCUUCGGGUUGUAAACCGCUUUCGGCUGUGACGACGCGUGAGUGACGGUACUGGGUAAAGAAGCACCGGCUAACUACGUG
rnacentral:rRNA from 1 species